GAGUUUGAUCCUGGCUCAGAACGAACGCUGGCGGCGUGUUUAAGACAUGCAAGUCGCACGGAAUGAACCGAGUACUAAUACCUGGUGAUUUUAGUGGCGCACGGGUGAGUAACACGUGAAUUACAUGCCCUUCAGUGGGGAAUAGCCCAGGGAAACUUGGAUUAAUGCCCCAUAGUCUCGCAAGAGUAAAGGUGGCCGCAAGGCUGUCGCUGAAGGAUUGGUUCGCGCCCUAUCAACUUGUUGGUGAGGUAACGGCUCACCAAGGCUACGACGGGUACCUGGUCUGAGAGGACGAUCAGGCACACUGGAACUGAGACACGGUCCAGACACCUACAGGUGGCAGCAGUCGAGAAUAAUUCACAAUGGACGAAAGUCUGAUGGUGCAACGCCGCGUGGAGGAUGACGGUCUUAGGAUUGUAAACUCCUGUCAUCCGGGAGAAAGACUUGGGAGUUAAUAGCUCACAGGGUUGAUAGUACCGGAAGAGGAAGGGACGGCUAACUUCGUGCCAGCAGCCGCGGUAAUACUAAGGUCCCAAGCGUUGUUCGGAAUCACUGGGCGUAAAGGGAGCGUAGGCGGCGCGGUAAGUCGGAUGUGAAAUCCCGAGGCUCAACCUCGGAACUGCAUCUGAUACUGCCGUGCUAGAGUAAUCCUGGGAAGUACGGUCGCAAGACUAAAACUCAAAGAAAUUGACGGGGACCCGCACAAGCGGUGGAGUAUGUGGCUUAAUUCGAUGCAACGCGAAGAACCUUACCUAGGCUUGACAUGCAUCUCUAAGCACGUGAAAGCGUGUGACCCUUCGGGGGAUUUGCACAGGUGCUGCAUGGCCGUCGUCAGCUCGUGUCGUGAGAUGUUGGGUUAAGUCCCGCAACGAGCGCAACCCUUGUGAUUAGUUUCCAGCACGUAAUGGUGGGAACUGUAGUCAGACUGCCCAGAUCAACUGGGAGGAAGGUGGGGACGACGUCAGGUCAGUAUGGCCCUUACGCCUAGGGCUGCACACGUACUACAAUGCUCAGUACAAUUAGAACCGAUACCGCGAGGUGGAGGAAAUCUGUAAAACUGGGCUCAGUUCGGAUUGGAGGCUGCAACUCGCCUCCAUGAAGUUGGAAUCGCUAGUAAUGGGGCAUCAUCUACGUCCCCGUGAAUACGUUCCCGGGUCUUGUACACACCGCCCGUCACAUCAUGGAAGCCGGUAGCACCUGAAGUAUUGUUCAAUCAAUCCUAAGGUGAAGCUGGUAACUGGGAUGAAGUCGUAACAAGGUAGCCGUAGGGG
rnacentral:rRNA from 1 species